GAGGUGGUGCAUGGCCGUCGUCAGUUCGUACUGUGAAGCAUCCUGUUAAGUCAGGCAACGAGCGAGACCCACGCCCACAGUUGCCAGCGUACUCUCCCGGGAGUGACGGGUACACUGUGGGGACCGCCGCUGCUAAAGCGGAGGAAGGAAUGGGCAACGGUAGGUCAGUAUGCCCCGAAUAUCCCCGGGCUACACGCGAGCUACAAUGGUUGGUACAAUGGGUAUCUACCCCGAAAGGGGACGGGAAUCUCCUAAACCAAUCUUAGUUCGGAUUGAGGGCUGCAACUCGCCCUCAUGAAGCUGGAAUCCGUAGUAAUCGCGUUUCAACAGAACGCGGUGAAUACGUCCCUGCCUCCUU
rnacentral:rRNA from 1 species